rnacentral:tRNA from 2 species
GCCGGGGUAGUUCAGCGGUUAGAACACCGCCUUCAUAAGACGGGAGUCGUGAGUUCGAGUCUCACCCCCGGCA